UCCCUUAGUUUUUUUUUUUUCUCUUUUCUCACCCUCCCCAUUUGAAGGUUCUCCUCUUUAUAGUUCUAAAAAUCAUUUCAGCAAUGGAGUUACUUCUAAUUUGAAAAACAAUUGUCUGAUUUGAGAUUCAGCUUCAGUCAGUAGAGUCGUUUAUCUUCAGAAAGGGAUGGGGGAGAGAUGUGGAGGAAGACUUAAUCAACUGUGGAACCAAGUCCAGUCGAUGGCAAUGAGAUAUGAAGAUAGGUAAAUUACCUUAUGGGAGUUUUUGAGUCUUUUGUACUGGGAUUUAGGUUCAUACAUUGUUUUUUAAUUGCGUUUGUUGCACUAUGAUUUCUGUACACAAACGAUUGCAACCAAAAAUGAAAGAGCAGCAUGCUUUAAGCAGAAGAAAUAAAGUAAAAUGUGCAUGUAAACAAUUUAGUCUUGCAAUGAAACACUUGAACAGGAUUUUGGUUCUCGGAGUAUGAGACACUCUGAAGAACAUGAGUGUCAAACAUAUAAAAAAAAUGUAUCGAAUAUUGGUGUUUCUUGAUGCUGGUGGGGUUUUGAGCCCAUUUAGACACGGGAGGAAGACUCACUGCCUCCAGGACAAGGCCUGUCACUAUUGCUCUAUCGGAGGCAGAGGCCGCAAAGCUCUCUUCUUGGUCUUUUGGAACUGCUCAACUGCUCUACAGCAAGUUGGAAGUGGGACAAGAGCAGAUUCAAUCAAGAACUUGGUGAAAUGAGAGCAUUAUGCUAGGACCUCAUCUGGGCAGACAUACAAAUCUUAAUCAAAAGCUUCUUACGAAGAGUCUUCAAAGCUUAUAUUACAAGCCUUCUAUAGAGGAUCAUGACGUAGCAAGAGCUGGUGCAAUUGCUUAUUACAGGAGAGAACCAGCCUUCUCUUAUCAAAUGACAUACUGAGAAGUUGGACCAUCCUAUAAGAUAGAACACAGAUGGUAAUCUGUAGAGAAAGAUAGAAGGGAGCAGCAGCAGCAGAAGAAGAAGUGGUGUAUAUUGCUGGAGACAGAUAGGAAUUUCUGACACCCACACGAGGACUGAGUAGUAGAUGAUGAAUCAUGGAUUAUAUAUUUAUUUUUUCUAUUCUUUGGAAACAAAAUAGAAACUGAUUCUUGUAGUUGCUCAGACUGUUAAAAGGAAAGAAUUGAGAGUGUGGUGGGGGCAUUGUUCUUGCAAAAACAAUAAGUGUGAGUAUCAGAGGUGAGUGCGUGUGAGUGUUCACAGUUUUUGCCUUUGUAAUGAUAAGAGAUUUGAAUGGCUGGCUGCAAAUUAUGCACGUAGU